AUUACUGCUUAAGAGUAGAGUGGCAGUCUCUUUGCUCAGAGGGAGCCUUGGGUCUCUGGCCCACUGUGGGAACUCCUGUCCUCCGGAGUGCACAGGACCAAAGGGCCUUUUCAAAGGUCCCUGCUCGUCUCUGGCAGAUCUCAAAAGCCUCAGGUUACACAACAGCCAAUGCGGAGUCUGACAAUGAGCGGGACUCUGACAAAGAAAGUGAGGACGGGGAAGAUGAAGUGAGCUGUGAGACUGUGAAGAUGGGGAGAAAGGAUUCUCUUGACCUGGAGGAAGAGGCAGCUUCAGGUGCCUCCAGUGCCCUGGAGGCUGGAGGUUCCUCAGGCUUAGAGGAUGUGCUGCCCCUCCUGCAGCAGGCCGACGAGCUGCACAGGGGUGAUGAGCAAGGCAAGCGGGAGGGCUUCCAGCUGCUGCUCAACAACAAGCUGGUGUAUGGAAGCCGGCAGGACUUUCUCUGGCGCCUGGCCCGAGCCUACAGUGACAUGUGUGAGCUCACUGAGGAGGUGAGCGAGAAGAAGUCAUAUGCCCUAGAUGGAAAAGAAGAAGCAGAGGCUGCUCUGGAGAAGGGGGAUGAGAGU
rnacentral:sRNA from 1 species